rnacentral:rRNA from 1 species
GACGAACGCUGGCGGCGUGCUUAACACAUGCGAGUCGAACGGAAAGGCCCUGCUUUUGUGGGGUGCUCGAGUGGCGAACGGGUGAGUAACACGUGAGUAACCUGCCCUUGACUUUGGGAUAACUUCAGGAAACUGGGGCUAAUACCGGAUAGGAGCUCCUGCUGCAUGGUGGGGGUUGGAAAGUUUCGGCGGUUGGGGAUGGACUCGCAGCUUAUCAGCUUGUUGGUGGGGUAGUGGCUUACCAAGGCUUUGACGGGUAGCCGGCCUGAGAGGGUGACCGGCCACAUUGGGACUGAGAUACGGCCCAGACUCCUACGGGAGGCAGCAGUGGGGAAUAUUGCACAAUGGGCGGAAGCCUGAUGCAGCAACGCCGCGUGCGGGAUGACGGCCUUCGGGUUGUAAACCGCUUUCGCCUGUGACGAAGCGUGAGUGACGGUAAUGGGUAAAGAAGCACCGGCUAACUACGUG